AGAGUUUGAUCCUGGCUCAGGAUGAACGCUGGCGGCGUUCCUAACACAUGCAAGUCGAGCGAACAGAUAAGGAGCUUSCUCCUUAGACGUUAGCGGCGGACGGGUGAGUAACACGUGGGUAACCUACCUAUAAGACUGGAAUAACUCCGGGAAACCCGGGGCUAAUGCCGGAUAACAUUUAGAUCCNCAUGGUUCUAAAGUGAAAGAUGGUUUUUCUAUCACUUAUAGAUGGACCCGCGCCGCAUUAGCUAGUUGGUAAGGUAACGGCUUACCAAGGCAACGAUACGUAGCCGACCUGAGAGGGUGAUCGGCCACACUGGAACUGAGACACGGUCCAGACUCCUACGGGAGGCAGCAGUAGGGAAUCUUCCGCAAUGGGCGAAAGCCUGACGGAGCAACGCCGCGUGAGUGAUGAAGGUCUUCGGAUCGUAAAACUCUGUUAUCAGGGAAGAACAAAUGUGUAAGUAACUC
rnacentral:rRNA from 1 species